UACAGAGGUCCCGAGCGUUGUUCGGAUUCAUUGGGCGUAAAGGGUGCGUAGGCUGCGGGGCAAGUCUGAUGUGAAAUCCCGGGGCUCAACCCCGGAACUGCAUUGGAUACUGCCUUGCUCGAGUACUGGAGAGGAGAUUGGAAUUUACGGUGUAGCAGUGAAAUGCGUAGAUAUCGUAAGGAAGACCAGUGGCGAAGGCGGAUCUCUGGACAGUUACUGACACUGAGGCACGAAGGCCAGGGGAGCAAACGGG
rnacentral:rRNA from 1 species